rnacentral:rRNA from 1 species
UCCGGAGGGAGCUAGCGUUGUUCGGAAUUACUGGGCGUAAAGCGCACGUAGGCGGCUUUGUAAGUUAGAGGUGAAAGCCUGGAGCUCAACUCCAGAACUGCCUUUAAGACUGCAUCGCUUGAAUCCAGGAGAGGUGAGUGGAAUUCCGAGUGUAGAGGUGAAAUUCGUAGAUAUUCGGAAGAACACCAGUGGCGAAGGCGGCUCACUGGACUGGUAUUGACGCUGAGGUGCGAAAGCGUGGGGAGCAAACAGG